UAUUGGACAAUGGGGGCAACCCUGAUCCAGCAAUACCGCGUGUGUGAAGAAGGCCUUCGGGUUGUAAAGCACUUUAGGCAGAGAAGAAGGUUGUUAGUUUAAGAGAUGAAUAACUUGACUGUAUCUGCAGAAUAAGCACCGGCUAACCCUGUGCCAGCAGCCGCGGUAAUACAGAGGGUGCAAGCGUUAAUCGGAUUUACUGGGCGUAAAGGGCGCGUAGGUGGUUGCGUAAGUGAGAUGUGAAAUCCCCGGGCUUAACCUGGGACGUGCAUCUUAGACUGCGUAGCUUGAGUGUAGUAGAGGGUAGUGGAAUUUCCGGUGUAGCGGUGAAAUGCGUAGAUAUCGGAAGGAACACCAGUGGCGAAGGCGGCUACCUGGACUAACACUGACACUGAGCGCGAG
rnacentral:rRNA from 1 species